ensembl:lncRNA novel transcript
GCAAAACGUUAGCAGGACCCAAAUAGGAGUCACUGCCAGGGUGUUUAGUGAAGGGUUCACUGAGCCUUUGACAUUUGAACUGAGUCUAGAAGAAAGUCAUUAACUCAGCAGAGAAAGGGGGGAAAAAGCAGAAGAAAAAGUAUACAGUGGUUGAGAAGCACCAAACAACAUGCUGUUUGGAGGAGAAUUUAGAGUAUUCUUGCUGUGGCUGCAUGAGGAUCAUUUAAGAGAAGGAUCAAAAUGGGAAGUACCUGUGGGCCACGGGUGGAAAACUCAACAGGCUGCAGAGGCCAGGCAGAUGAUUUCAGCCAUUCUGAAAAGCAUAAGGAAAAGAAAAACCACCAGUGAUCUCAUAAUACAGACAUUUUGGAAUAUUUGAAAAGAUCACACCACUGCACUUCAACCUGGGACAAAGAGCAAGACUCUGACUAUAAAAACAAAAACCAAAAAAAGGUGUGCACUAUGCACAUAUGUACAUUUUUAGAAAAUUGUUUCUUACCCUAUGUAGAAUGUUAUAGCCUGCUUUUAACAUUUAAUCUGCACCAUGAGCAC